GCUGCUUUAGUUGGAGUAAAACUUCUCCAGUAGAUGGCGCUGCUGUCUCUGAAACUGAACUCAGAAGGAAACCAUCCAAAGUCUCAACAGGAUGGAAAGAAAUAAUAGUAAAGGGUGUGGAAGAAAGAAGCAAUGGAAAUAAAGCCAAGUAAAGGGAAGCUGGGUCAAGACAAAAUCACUGCUUUCCAUAAUUUUGAGAAGACACACUAGUGUCUACAUUAUGCUACACUCUGGGACUCUCAUUUUAAAACCAUGUAUGUGUUUGAAAGUUGGAUACUUUGGAUUUCUGUAAGAAUCCAAGGGGAAUAUGUAUUUCUAUAAAUUUUGAUGUUUUAACUUUAAA